UGCAUGGCUCAGUGGUAGAGCAUCUGGUUUGCAUGCAGAAGGUCCCGGGUUCAAUCCCCAGUAUAAGAA
rnacentral:tRNA from 1 species